rnacentral:rRNA from 1 species
UACGUAGGGUGCAGGCGUUAAUCGGAAUUACUGGGCGUAAAGCGUGCGUAGGCGGUUUGUUAAGACAGGUGUGAAAUCCCCGGGCUUAACCUGGGAACUGCGCUUGUUACUGGCAGACUUGAGUGUGGCAGAGGGGGGUGGAAUUCCAGGUGUAGCAGUGAAAUGCGUAGAUAUCUGGAGGAACACCGAUGGCGAAGGCAGCCCCCUGGGCUAACACUGACGCUGAUGCACGAAAGCGUGGGGAACAAACAGG